UACGAAGGGGGCUAGCGUUGUCCGGAAUCACUGGGCGUAAAGCGCACGUAGGCGGUUUGUCAAGUUGGGGGUGUAAGCUCUGGGCCUAACCCAGAAAUUGCCUCCAAAACUAGCAUACUUGAGUAUUAGAGGGGAAGCUGGAAUUCACGGUGUAGCGGUGAAAUGCGUAGAUAUCGUGGAGAACACCCGUGGCGAAGGCGGGCUUCUGGCUAAUUACUGACGCUGAGGUGCGAAAGCUAGGGGAGCGAACGGG
rnacentral:rRNA from 1 species